GAUGAAGAACGCAGCGAAAUGCGAUAAGUAGUGUGAAUUGCAGAAUUCAGUGAAUCAUCGAAUCUUUGAACGCACAUUGCGCCCUUUGGUAUUCCUUAGGGCAUGCCUGUUCGAGCGUCAUUUAAACCUCCAAGCUAAGCUUGGUGUUGGGUGACUGUCCGCUUCACGGCGGACUCGCCUCAAAAUUAUUGGCGGCCGGUACAUUGGCUUCGAGCGCAGCAGAAACGCGAACUCGGGCCCGUCGUAUUGGCUCCCAGAAGCUAUCUUCACAAUUUUGACCUCGGAUCAGGUAGGGAUACCCGCUGAACUUAAGCAUAUCAAUAAGCGGAGGA
rnacentral:misc_RNA from 1 species